GAUGAACGCUGGCGGCGUGCCUAAUACAUGCAAGUCGAGCGAACAGACGAGGAGCUUGCUCCUUCGACGUUAGCGGCGGACGGGUGAGUAACACGUAGGUAACCUACCUAUAAGACUGGGAUAACUUCGGGAAACCGGAGCUAAUACCGGAUAAUAUUUCGAACCGCAUGGUUCGAUAGUGAAAGAUGGCUUUGCUAUCACUUAUAGAUGGACCUGCGCCGUAUUAGCUAGUUGGUAAGGUAACGGCUUACCAAGGCAACGAUACGUAGCCGACCUGAGAGGGGGAUCGGCCACACUGGAACUGAGACACGGUCCAGAAUCCUACGGGAGGCAGCAGUAGGGAAUCUUCCGCAAUGGGCGAAAGCCUGACGGAGCAACGCCGCGUGAGUGAUGAAGGUCUUCGGAUCGUAAAACUCUGUUAUUAGGGAAGAACAAACGUGUAAGUAACUGUGCACGUCUUGACGGUACCUAAUCAGAAAGCCACGGCUAACUACGUG
rnacentral:rRNA from 1 species